rnacentral:rRNA from 1 species
UUUGCCAGGGAGCAAUGCCGUCCACGUGUGGACGGAAGGAGAGUACCUGGAGAAAAAGCAUCGGCUAACUCCGUGCCAGCAGCCGCGGUAAUACGGAGGAUGCGAGCGUUAUCCGGAUUUAUUGGGUUUAAAGGGUGCGUAGGCGGCCUGCCAAGUCAGCGGUAAAAUUGCGGGGCUCAACCCCGUACAGCCGUUGAAACUGCCGGGCUCGAGUGGGCGAGAAGUAUGCGGAAUGCGUGGUGUAGCGGUGAAAUGCAUAGAUAUCACGCAGAACCCCGAUUGCGAAGGCAGCAUACCGGCGCCCGACUGACGCUGAGGCACGAAAGUGCGGGGAUCAAACAGGAUUAGAUACCCUGGUAGUCCGCACAGUAAACGAUGAAUGCUAGCUGUCCGGGGGGAUUGACCCCUGG